CCACGGACUUGCGUCCGUGGCUGCAUCAUGCCAUUGCUUCGCAAUU
rnacentral:sRNA from 1 species